UACGGGGGGAGCAAGCGUUGUUCGGAUUUACUGGGCGUAAAGGGCGCGUAGGCGGCCACCGCAAGUCAGUUGUGAAAUCUCUGGGCUUAACCCGGAAAGGUCAGCCGAUACUGCGGGGCUAGAGUGCAGAAGGGGCAACUGGAAUUCUCCGGUGUAGCGGUGAAAUGCGUAGAUAUCGAGAGGAACACCUGCGGCGAAAGGCGGCAUCCUGGGUCCUGUUCUGACGCUGAGGCGCGAGAGCGUGGGGAGCGAACUGG
rnacentral:rRNA from 1 species